CUGAUUACUGGGAGGAGCUAACAAACACAUCCAUACAUGCAGGGGGCGGAGCUCUGUUCAGGUGUCCUUGAACCAGGAAACGAGGAAGUUUAGUGUUUUUCUCCAUGUUAGAGCAGGAAGAGACGAGGCUCCAACUUUCUUCUUCUUCAUGGAAAGCCCACUACACCCAUUGUCUGAAAAUAAUCUGGAGGGAGGACAGACGAGGAGUCCGGACAGCUGUGCUCCGUGCAGGUUCUUCUGGCAUGGGCUUUGAUUUUCAAGCACAACUUUUCUCCGCAGGGUUGUUUCAUCUGGAAUAACUGUAAUAUUCUUUAUAAAAACAAGACUUUGUUUAUGGAUAAGUGGUUUAAUAAUGGGAUUAUUUUGGUGAGUCAGUUAUUUCAAGAACCCGGUCUGUUAUAUAUAUAAUUAUUCUGAAUUUCUUGAUAGAUAUGCUAUUCCAAUAACUCCUAAAUAAUUCUUUGUGGUGUUUGAUGUCAUUCCUUCUGGACUCUGCCUGCUAUUCAAGGGUAUACACAGCGCUCCUUCCUCGUCUCUCAAGCCCCCUGAUGUUAUACAGUCUACUCUUGGCAGUUUGUGCUUAUUUGUCUAAAUUUAAACAUGAUUUAAAUACAAGCUGUACCUUUUGUCAGAAGGAACCUGAAACCACUUCUCAUUUGUUUUGGUCAUGUGAAUUUACGUCUAAGUUUUGGAAGGACAUCCACAAAUUCAUCACUGACUCAAUUUUCAAUGGUUUUCAACUGUAUUACAGAGAUGUUAUUUUUGGUUUCUACCAAUUUAGAUCCAAAGAUCACAAUGUUUUCUUUUUUAGUAACAUGUUUUUAUUUAUGGCCAAGUUUCACAUUCAUAAAAGUAAAGUAAUGAACAAAAAGCCUGAACUCUUGGCUCUUAAAAUAGAACUCCAUGAAUAAAUCAAAACACUAACUCUUGCAUUUUUUCUCUCUUUUUUAUUUAUUUGUAUGUCUCUAGUUUACUUACUGUUCUGUAUUUUCCCUUUUUUCUCUUUUGCCAUUUAAUGUUUACUUGCAUAAGCUGUGAUAUAUGAGCUUGUAUGAGUUCUAAUUUGAUGUUUGUAUUGUAUUAUAUUCAAUGCUCAAUAAAA